CCUUUGUCCGCUGAUUCGCUUCUCUAUCUGUCCGUCAUACCUAGUGGGUGCAAGAGACACAAUUCAGGAAAGAGGAGAGAGAGAAAGAAAACCCAUCAAAUCGGUAGUAGUGAUUGUUGCCGAGAGAUGGACUUAAAGCCCCACCCCCAAGGCCACGGCCAGGCCCCGGCGUACCUGGGAGCAACAGUUCGCUACUGACAGCGUCGUUUCCUGUUACUCCGAGCUGACAGCUGGGAACGAGGAGCACAGCUGAAACCAGCAGGCCUGACCUCCCGCCCCUCGGUGACUCAGCGGGGCGAGCACGGGGUCCUCCUCCCGUCCUCUCCCCGGGACGGAGCCGCCCCCGGGCGGGGAGGCCGGGCGCACAGAAGGUCGACGUGGGUGCCAGGGGAAAGGUGACACAUCCGCCUUCUGCUCCCGGGACGUCCCAGCUGAACAGGCUCUGCCGGGUCACCAGCCCCAGGUCGCCAGCCCCACGUGCGAGUUCGGGACCCAGAGGAGUGGAAGAGGGCUGGGAGUCGACUCAUCCUUUAGUCAAAAACUCUCAUGGGGAGCCACCGUUCUCUCUUAAGAGAAAAGAGCGUUUCGGCAAAGGAAGGCCCUGUUCUCGGAGUAGGGGAAUCGAGGGAGGGCAGGUGUCAGCCGCACACAGACGUCCCCAAACCGUGCUGCAAACGACACACCUGGGGAGUGCGCGUGGAGCCCCCCGAGCAGCCACCCGCGGGUGAGGGUGAACGGGGUGCGGUCUGUUUGCGCUGCACACGGCCCCCCCACCCCCAGCCUCGAAAUCAGGCGUGGACACAGGCUGCGGUGUGGACGAACCCCAAGCCCGCAGUGCGAAGCAGCCAGGCACGGAGGCCUCGGAGUGUGCGAUUCCAUGCACGCAACACGUCCCGAACCGGCCAAUCCACAGACACAGGAAGUAGGUGGGUGGGUCCCAGGGGUGGGGGAGGGGCAGCCGAUGAGACUGCGGCACAAGGCUUCUUUGGAGGGUGACCGGAAUGUUCUGAAAUUAGCCGGUGGCGAUGGUUGCACAACAGGAUGCGUAUACUAAAAACCACUGGAUUGUAAACUUUACAAUGACCAAUUGUAUGUGACGUAAGUCAAUCUAAAUAAAAAAUGCAACUAAAAA